GACGAACGCUGGCGGCGUGCUUAACACAUGCAAGUCGAACGGGAAGGCCCUGCUUUUGUGGGGUGCUCGAGUGGCGAACGGGUGAGUAACACGUGAGUAACCUGCCCUUGACUUUGGGAUAACUUCAGGAAACUGGGGCUAAUACCGGAUAGGAGCUCCUGCUGCAUGGUGGGGGUUGGAAAGUUUCGGCGGUUGGGGAUGGACUCGCGGCUUAUCAGCUUGUUGGUGGGGUAGUGGCUUACCAAGGCUUUGACGGGUAGCCGGCCUGAGAGGGUGACCGGCCACAUUGGGACUGAGAUACGGCCCAGACUCCUACGGGAGGCAGCGGUGGGGAAUAUUGCACAAUGGGCGGAAGCCUGAUGCAGCAACGCCGCGUGCGGGAUGACGGCCUUCGGGUUGUAAACCGCUUUCGCCUGUGACGAAGCGUGAGUGACGGUAAUGGGUAAAGAAGCACCGGCUAACUACGUG
rnacentral:rRNA from 1 species